rnacentral:lncRNA from 1 species
AACCCAAUCAACCUCCUUACUCUCUUCGGAAUCAUUGGGUUGUUUGCACACAUUAAAAAUAUUUAGUUCUAAGGUCAUGUUACCAAAAGAAAGCUUCAUGACGCUAUUCCUACAAUUAAUUAAUGCAUUAGAAGUCGCAAGGAAUGGACGUCCUAAAAUGACCGGAAUCUGAGAUUGUGAGUUCGAAGCCGGAUGUGUGUCCAAUACGAUAAAAUCAACAGGAAAGUAGAACUUGUCU